rnacentral:rRNA from 1 species
GACGAACGCUGGCGGCGUGCCUAAUACAUGCAAGUAGAACGCUGAAGAGAGGAGCUUGCUCUUCUUGGAUGAGUUGCGAACGGGUGAGUAACGCGUAGGUAACCUGCCUUGUAGCGGGGGAUAACUAUUGGAAACGAUAGCUAAUACCGCAUAACAAUGGAUGACACAUGUCAUUUAUUUGAAAGGGGCAAUUGCUCCACUACAAGAUGGACCUGCGUUGUAUUAGCUAGUAGGUGAGGUAACGGCUCACCUAGGCGACGAUACAUAGCCGACCUGAGAGGGUGAUCGGCCACACUGGGACUGAGACACGGCCCAGACUCCUACGGGAGGCAGCAGUAGGGAAUCUUCGGCAAUGGGGGCAACCCUGACCGAGCAACGCCGCGUGAGUGAAGAAGGUUUUCGGAUCGUAAAGCUCUGUUGUAAGUCAAGAACGAGUGUGAGAGUGGAAAGUUCACACUGUGACGGUAGCUUACCAGAAAGGGACGGCUGACUACGUGCCAGCGGCCGCGGUAAUACGUAGGUCCCGAGCGUUGUCCGGAUUUAUUGGGCGUAAAGCGAGCGCAGGCGGUUUGAUAAGUCUGAAGUUAAAGGCUGUGGCUCAACCAUAGUUCGCUUUGGAAACUGUCAAACUUGAGUGCAGAAGGGGAGAGUGGAAUUCCAUGUGUAGCGGUGAAAUGCGUAGAUAUAUGGAGGAACACCGGUGGCGAAAGCGGCUCUCUGGUCUGUAACUGACGCUGAGGCUCGAAAGCGUGGGGAGCGAACAGGAUUAGAUACCCUGGUAGUCCACGCCGUAAACGAUGAGUGCUAGGUGUUGGAUCCUUUCCGGGAUUCAGUGCCGCAGCUAACGCAUUAAGCACUCCGCCUGGGGAGUACGACCGCAAGGUUGAAACUCAAAGGAAUUGACGGGGGCCCGCACAAGCGGUGGAGCAUGUGGUUUAAUUCGAAGCAACGCGAAGAACCUUACCAGGUCUUGACAUCCCGAUGCUAUUUCUAGAGAUAGAAAGUUACUUCGGUACAUCGGUGACAGGUGGUGCAUGGUUGUCGUCAGCUCGUGUCGUGAGAUGUUGGGUUAAGUCCCGCAACGAGCGCAACCCCUAUUGUUAGUUGCCAUCAUUCAGUUGGGCACUCUAGCGAGACUGCCGGUAAUAAACCGGAGGAAGGUGGGGAUGACGUCAAAUCAUCAUGCCCCUUAUGACCUGGGCUACACACGUGCUACAAUGGUUGGUACAACGAGUUGCGAGUCGGUGACGGCAAGCUAAUCUCUUAAAGCCAAUCUCAGUUCGGAUUGUAGGCUGCAACUCGCCUACAUGAAGUCGGAAUCGCUAGUAAUCGCGGAUCAGCACGCCGCGGUGAAUACGUUCCCGGGCCU